UGAAUGGGCAGCAAUUGGCGGUGGAGCUGGUGGUUACUGGUACUAGGAUUGGGGGUGAUGUGCACAAUAAUUGUAAGCGCCGGUGCUUCUAAAGGGGAAGAGCCUCUCGUCACCAGAAUCGGUUUUGGAUCAUGCGCCAACCAAAGUGCCCCUCAGCCCAUCUGGAAUGCAAUAAUCGACUUUGAUCCCCAACUUUUUAUUUGGCUCGGUG
rnacentral:misc_RNA from 1 species